rnacentral:rRNA from 1 species
GAUGAACGCUGGCGGCGUGCCUAAUACAUGCAAGUCGAGCGAAUGGAUUAAGAGCUUGCUCUUAUGAAGUUAGCGGCGGACGGGUGAGUAACACGUGGGUAACCUGCCCAUAAGACUGGGAUAACUCCGGGAAACCGGGGCUAAUACCGGAUAACAUUUUGAACCGCAUGGUUCGAAAUUGAAAGGCGGCUUCGGCUGUCACUUAUGGAUGGACCCGCGUCGCAUUAGCUAGUUGGUGAGGUAACGGCUCACCAAGGCAACGAUGCGUAGCCGACCUGAGAUGGUGAUCGGCCACGCGGGGAAGAAGACACGGCCCAGACUCCUACGGGAGGCAGCAGUAGGGAAUCUUCCGCAAUGGACGAAAGUCCGACGGAGCAACGCCGCGUGAGUGAUGAAGGCUUUCGGGUCGUAAAACUCUGUUGUUAGGGAAGAACAAGUGCUAGUUGAAUAAGCUGGCACCUUGACGGUACCUAACCAGAAAGCCACGGCUAACUACGUGCCAGCCGCCGCAGUAA